GUUGAGAACCAGAACCAUGUGGAUGGAGGAAGAAGGUUCUCCAAAACUAUAUGUAUGAGAGACAACUUCCCCAGAAAAAAAGGGAAAAAGGGAGCCAGGGCAGAAAAUAACGCUAUUGUCCCUGCAAACAUCUUCCUUCCGGUUUUCUGCCUGCCUUGCAGGCUGACUAGGAAUCUGUGUGUUCCGUAAACACCAUUUCCGCCAGCAGCUGUAGAGUUGUGGACGGAGUGGGGUCAGUGAGGGCCUGGGUUUAGACAAGGCGAAGAUCAAAUUCCGGCUUUUUCUGGCUGUGUUACUUUGGGCUGGGUAAAUAACCUCUCUGUACUUCAGCAUUGUAAAACGGAGAUAAAAAAAAAAAAAUCUACCUUCUAGGACAGUUAUACCUAAUGAAAUCAAAAGGACUUUAAUAAAUGAUGGGGAAACAGAGGCCCAGCAGAUGGCCGAGCUUGAGGUUAGUUACGUGAAGUACUGAGGAACUGCAAAGACGAGACCUUUUCAGGAGGCCGCGUCUGGAGCCAGUUAGCCCCGCCAAGAGCUUUCAGAAAUUACAAGGCCACAAAAAUGCUUUUUGGCUUGCAGCAUCCGAAUGGGCCCCACCCAUCUUGCUUAGAGUCAGGCCUCCUUUUUCUCACUACUGGACCCUGUGUUGCCAGGCUGGUACACCGAACCCCUAGCGAGCAGAACCCUUUCAAAGCCACUGAAUGGUCUUCCUCUUUGUGGAAGCCUGGGAGGGAAGUGGCUCAAACCAUCCGGUCUGUCUUGCCGUCUUGUUCAUUACCCACCUGGGCUGGAGCUCUGAGCAGAGCCAUUGAUUACGGGAAGGUCAGUGCCACGCAACCAUGUAGGACAAUGAGAAGUCCGCUUCUCUGAUGGGUUUUCUUUCUGACCCAAAGACAGAAAAAUCAAAAAGAAAUACAAGAGGCAGGACUGGAUCCCUCGAAUCUGUCUGGACUUGUCGGCUCACCUGAGUUAGACUGUGAGUUAGGCCUCCUCCGCCCGGCCAGACAGAGUCCCCUCUCCCCGACCCUUCUUCUUGGGGGUUGACAUCUCAAAUGAGGUGACUGUCCUUCAUGCCGCCGAUCGUGCUGUAACUCACAGCAUUUUCUUUUCACGAUGAAAAUGACGCCUUCAUUUUCAACUCCCCAAAUUUCUUAAUUUCUCCGCAAUCAGCUUCUAUCAUGCUGACUCUGAGAGGCCGAGCUGCCACUGUGUGUCUCAUAAAAGUGUUCAGUGUUCGUGUGUAGAGAAUAAGGCUCCGUAGUGAGCCGGGGUUUAAUAAUGUGAUAAUAGACUCAUGGAGAGCCUCACGGUGGUGGCCGCUGUACAUGCAUGAUUGCAACUCACGCUCAUUACUAACGUGAAGACAAACAUGACAAUUGUGACACCGGAUUAUAUGCCACGGAUAAGGAAACUGAGGAUCAGAGAGGUUUAGGUUCUUUCCCAGGGGCACUCAGCUGGUAAAUGGUAGAGCCAGGUCCAAACCCAUUCUUGCCUGGACUCUCAGACCCAUGUGCUUCCCGCAGACCCUAUGAUGUAACUGUCCUUCCAAGCCAUGUCUGUUACCUCUUCUUCUCUUUAACUUACGUCUCCUUUGACUGCGACUCUGGUCCAGGAGAAGCAAAGGAAGCUGUGCAUUGGAGAGGAAGCUCCCGACUUUAGGGGCUCCGUGUGAGGUCACCCUUUGAGUUUCCUCCCCGUGAUAUUUGCUUAUACAACCAACUGCCCUUCUUCUCAACUAAACUCUUCCUUAAGUCUCCAAAAUUUAGAUUUUAUUCAGUUAAGGCCUUCAGGGGUGGUGGUGGUGAUGGUGGUGGCAGUAGGGGUUGUUCCCAUAAUCUCCCCAUUUUGCAGAUGAGAAAAUUGAGGCACAGCAUUUGCCCGGACAGUGAGGGGCAGAUACAGGAUUUGUACUUGAGGUGCUAACUCCAGAGUUCAUGUGCUUUGGCAGGGCCUAGGGAGGUGAGAAGGCUGUAGAGUGAGUGUUGGUGGCACAGGGGUAGGGUGCUGCCGGUGGGAGAUCUUCGCUGCUUCCAAAGGUUGCCCUUGACCAUGUGUGUGAGGGAGAGCCUGGGCCAACCCCGCUGCCUGAGCAGCGAUGUUUAUAGAGGGGACGUCUCCCCCACACCCAGGAGGCUGUGCCCCUGACACCCUUUAGGCUCCAAGAACCCAGUUCCAAAUGGAGCAGCGACUUCAAAAACAAAAACAGAAACAGUUCACGCUCCGUCUCUUAGGAAACAGCAACAACAACAAAAACGCAAUGAGAAACCUCUCCGCUCCAUCUGUAACCGAAUAUAUUUUGAUCUUGGUUUCCUUGGGCAGCCUUCUCUUAACAGCUUCUAAUUCACAGAGACAAAAAACAUAAAACAAUUUAAGGCAUUGGCACUCUCAGUUCGGCAAGGCAGUUUACUCUCAGGGGAGCGUUGUUGG